rnacentral:rRNA from 1 species
UACGUAGGAGGCAAGCGUUGUCCGGAAUUACUGGGCGUAAAGCGCGUGUAGGUGGUGGGACAAGUCUGCUGUGAAAGCGCCUGGCUUAACCGGGCGAGGUCGGCGGAAACUGUCGCACUCGAGGACGGUAGAGGGGGGUGGAAUUCCCGGUGUAGUGGUGAAAUGCGUAGAUAUCGGGAGGAACACCAGUGGCGAAGGCGACUACCUGGCCUGUUCUUGACGCUGAGGCGCGAAAGCUAGGGGAGCAAACGGG